AAUAUGCUGACCAGUAUGCUCAACGAUGAGCUGGCGCUUCUACCCCAGGUGACUGCUGCACCCCGUAGAAAUCUACCAGCAAAAUGGAGCCAGUCGUUUCACUUGGAUAAUUACAACCCAGACGAAGUGAAAGUAAAUGUUGACGAAGGAUGUGUUAGAAUUCACGCUCGUCAUGUGCGAGGGGAUGAAGAGAACGGCGAAGUCCGCGAGACCAAACGAUGCAUCAAAAUUCCCGAGGGGGUCGAUGCAAGCAAAGUUCACUGUAAGAUGCUGAAUGACCACACCUACCUUGUUGAGGCACCGCUCCUACGCAAUGAAGACGAGGAGGAAAUGGAGGUCCAAGUUGAAAGCGUCCCCGCCAUUACGGACGGCAAGAAAGAUGACAUGCAGCUGGUUGAGAGUUCAAAACCCUACGAGACCAAACUGGACCUGUCGGUGUUCGAGCCUGACCACAUUACCGUCAAACGGCGCGGGAACUUGGUGUCCGUGUCUGCUGACCACUCGCGUGAGGAGGAUGGGGUCAAAGUGUCUCGUUCAUUCAGGAGGGAGUUUACCGUACCCGAGGGUGUGGAUUACAAGCACAUCAAGUGUGUCCGCGAUCCAAAGGGCCAUGUUGCAAUUAUGGCCCCCACGACUGAUAAGAAGUAAAAGAGGAAUUGGAUGGACACUGCAUAUUUGCCUAUGAAAGUAUUGAUUCCUGAAGAGUGUCAUUUAUUGAUGCGUUAAUCAGUGACGAACUUCACUACCUACAUAUUUGAUAUGUCCAUGUUUCUCUUCAUAAACUUUUGUGUUCUGUAUGUUUCAGUUAAAACGUCUACCCAUUUUCUACUCAUUUUCAUAAGACUGAUCAGUCUCGUCCAUUUGUAUCUUUUUUUGAACAGUUUUUAAAUACUCGGGACAAUUCAUCAUACUUUUCAAUUUCAUGUAUAAUAUUGAUUCAUGUAAAUUGUUAAUAUUUGUAAUUGACAGAAGUUAAUUUUGUUUCAAAUAAAUCUUGUUACU
rnacentral:misc_RNA from 1 species